rnacentral:rRNA from 1 species
CCUACGGUCGGCAGCAGUGGGGAAUAUUGGACAAUGGGCGAAAGCCUGAUCCAGCCAUGCCGCGUGUGUGAAGAAGGCCUUCGGGUUGUAAAGCACUUUCAGUGGGGAAGAAAGCCUUGGGGCUAAUACCCUCGAGGAAGGACAUCACCAACAGAAGAAGCACCGGCUAACUCCGUGCCAGCAGCCGCGGUAAUACGGAGGGUGCGAGCGUUAAUCGGAAUUACUGGGCGUAAAGCGCGCGUAGGCGGUCUGAUAAGCCGGUUGUGAAAGCCCCGGGCUCAACCUGGGAACGGCAUCCGGAACUGUCAGGCUAGAGUGCAGGAGAGGAAGGUAGAAUUCCCGGUGUAGCGGUGAAAUGCGUAGAGAUCGGGAGGAAUACCAGUGGCGAAGGCGGCCUUCUGGACUGACACUGACGCUGAGGUGCGAAAGCGUGGGUAGCAAACAGGAUUAGAUACCCGGGUAGUC